CUCCCCGACAUUUGUAGGGAGUGGUGCAUUUCCAGGCAGCUGUGGUGGGGCCAUCGCAUCCCAGCCUACUUUGUCACUGUCAGUGACCCAGCGGUGCCCCCUGGGGAGGUGAGCAGAGGGCCAGAGCUAGCUGCUGGGACACCCUGCGGGAGCGGACCCUGAUGGGCGGUACUGGGUGAGCGGACGCAAUGAGGCGGAGGCCCAGGAGAAGGCAGCCAAGGAGUUCGGAGUGUCCCCUGACAAGAUCAGUCUCCAGCAAGAUGAGGAUGUAUUGGAUACCUGGUUCUCCUCCGGCCUCUUCCCUUUAUCCAUUUUGGGCUGGCCCAACCAGUCAGAAGACUUGAGUGUGUUCUACCCUGGGACACUGCUGGAGACCGGUCACGACAUCCUCUUCUUCUGGGUAGCCCGGAUGGUCAUGCUGGGCCUGAAGCUCACGGGCAGGCUGCCCUUUAGAGAGGUCUACCUCCAUGCCAUCGUGCGAGAUGCUCACGGCCGGAAGAUGAGCAAGUCUCUAGGCAAUGUCAUCGAUCCCCUGGACGUCAUCUAUGGAAUCUCCCUGCAGGUGGGCUGGGUGCUGGGCCAGCCAGGAAGGGCCGUGGGGCUGUGGUCACAGCCACCUGACGGCUCCCACUCCACCCUCAGGGCCUCCACGACCAGCUGCUGAACAGCAACCUGGAUCCCAGCGAGGUGGAGAAGGCCAAAGAAGGGCAGAAAGCUGACUUCCCAGCGGGGAUUCCUGAAUGUGGCACUGAUGCUCUCCGGUUUGGAUUAUGUGCCUACACGUCCCAGGGUCGUGACAUCAACCUGG
rnacentral:sRNA from 1 species